CAGACAAUUGUGUUUCUAUGAAAUAUAAGGUGCUGAAAGAUCUUUAUACUUUGGGUUUAUUCACUAAACUGGGAAUUGUGGAGAAUUUACCAAAGAACUGCAGAUUAUAGACCAAAAUAUCUGAACAGAAAAAUAUUAUAACUGUGGAAUUUGUUAUGGUUUACUUAUUUUAAUCCAAAAGGUGCAAUUCACAUGUCAGUUCCCCCAAU